GACGAACGCUGGCGGCGUGCCUAAUACAUGCAAGUAGAACGCACAGUUUAUACCGUAGCUUGCUACACCAUAGACUGUGAGUUGCGAACGGGUGAGUAACGCGUAGGUAACCUGCCUGGUAGCGGGGGAUAACUAUUGGAAACGAUAGCUAAUACCGCAUAAUAUUAAUUAUUGCAUGAUAAUUAAUUGAAAGGUGCAAUUGCACCACUACCAGAUGGACCUGCGUUGUAUUAGCUAGUAGGUGAGGUAACGGCUCACCUAGGCGACGAUACAUAGCCGACCUGAGAGGGUGAUCGGCCACACUGGGACUGAGACACGGCCCAGACUCCUACGGGAGGCAGCAGUAGGGAAUCUUCGGCAAUGGACGAAAGUCUGACCGAGCAACGCCGCGUGAGUGAAGAAGGUUUUCGGAUCGUAAAGCUCUGUUGUAAGAGAAGAACGGGUGUGAGAGUGGAAAGUUCACACUGUGACGGUAUCUCACCAGAAAGGGACGGCUAACUACGUG
rnacentral:rRNA from 1 species